rnacentral:ncRNA from 2 species
UGAUAGAGGCGCGGAAAAUAAGAGUAGCGGAAAACAGGAUGUUAUCCAAGGCGGGCGGCCGUUUUCCGGGAAAGGAUUUUCUGCCGAAGUCUGCGAGCCUGCCCGGGCAAGCCGGCUGGGACGCCGUAAAAUAUGCGGCGUACUGUCACUUAUUGUGGAGAGCUAUCGUA